rnacentral:rRNA from 1 species
UACGUAGGGGGCAAGCGUUGUCCGGAAUUAUUGGGCGUAAAGAGCGUGUAGGCGGUCCGGUAAGUCAGCUGUGAAAGUCAAGGGCUCAACCUUGAAUGCCGGUUGAUACUGUCGGGCUAGAGUCCGGAAGAGGCGAGUGGAAUCCCGGUGUAGCGGUGAAAUGCGCAGAUAUCGGGAGGAACACCAAUGGCGAAGGCAGCUCGCUGG